GGCAGGGUAGAUCAUGGCUCCCCAAGAGCAAAGAAAUUUAACUUUUAAGACUCAUAUCCAGAAUCAGCCUGGCAUCUCUUGGCUCCACCAUAUUGAUUAAACUGAGUCAUCUGUGUGGAAGAGGACCUUGAAAGAUGACGAGUGACAAGAGGUGGUUCCCCUGGAGCCAUUGCUCAGGAAGAACUGCUUCUACAAAACCAGCCACACCACCUCCAUUCCUCUACUGUACAAAGGAGGAAAAGAAAACUGCAGCAGUAUGCAGGAGUUUCUUUCACCUACGGGGUAUUUUCUGUUAAUAGCCCAUGAAGAGCAGAAGAGAGGGCAAGGAAGCCUAGCAAUGGGACCUACCUUCAAAAUUAAAUUCUACACACGGAGUGACCUCUGCCCCCCUAACAUUUAGCUGCUUAAAAUUGGACUCUGCUCUGUGUCAGUGGUGCCACCUGCCACAGGCCACAGUGCUUGCUGUGCACCAGAGGGCACAUUAAUUAGCUUCGGUGCUAUGCAUCUGGGUGACUUCAACGUGAAGACACCAGAGGGGGCAUAUGGACUGGCAGCUGGGGAUUGGAAGCACAGCCAAGAAGCAGCUUUAGAAAUAAUCAUUGUUGGAUCAGUCUUGCUAGCACCCUCACUACCAGCUCUGCUUAUGUGGAGAUUGCUGUGUAUAUGAAGAUCUUUAUGGUCUUGGAUUGGAACACAAAGAUAGGAUGACAUCAUAAUCCUGGGAACCCAUUUUUGAACAUUCUGUUGAGGCACACUUAGCAGUCAAGCAUCCCUCUUUCCUCAAAUCCUGGGUCCUGUCGAAGGCGAUGCAGAGCAGCGAAUGCCCCCCAAAAUGAAAGGGCUGUGGAAAUCACA